CCUGGCUCAGAUUGAACGCUGGCGGCAUGCCUAACACAUGCAAGUCGAACGGCAGCACGGCAGUAGCAAUACUGUGGGUGGCGAGUGGCGGACGGGUGAGGAAUACGUCGGAAUCUGCCCAGUCGUGGGGGAUAACUAGCCGAAAGGUUAGCUAAUACCGCAUACGACCGAGAGGUGAAAGCGGGGGACCGCAAGGCCUCGCGCGAUUGGAUGAGCCGACGUCGGAUUAGCUAGUUGGUGGGGUAAAGGCCCACCAAGGCGACGAUCCGUAGCUGGUCUGAGAGGAUGAUCAGCCACACUGGAACUGAGACACGGUCCAGACUCCUACGGGAGGCAGCAGUGGGGAAUAUUGGACAAUGGGCGCAAGCCUGAUCCAGCAAUGCCGCGUGUGUGAAGAAGGCCUUCGGGUUGUAAAGUACUUUUAUCAGGAACGAAAAGCGUUGGAUUAAUACUCUGACGUGCUGACGGUACCUGAGGAAUAAGCACCGGCUAACUUCGUA
rnacentral:rRNA from 1 species